AUGAUUCAAACUUAAGUACCCAUUAUUUCUGAGAGGCAAUCAGGUGUGUGGAAUUUCAGACAGGUCUUUAAUCAGAACAAUCAGAUCUAGGUCAUGCUAUCAGUAGGUCAGACAGUUUUCUGCAGCAUAUUAAUGGCACUAGUCUGAAUGAUUCAUAUCAACUCUGGUUUUCCUCCAACAUUCAAGUCAGUGCAGGUCGGUGUAUUCAGUGUUUAUGCUUUUUUGUAUUUACCUCAGCAAAUGCUGUCCCCAAAUAUAUUGACAUUUGAAUAGGUUUACAAUCCAUAGUAAUAUUUGAACCUUACAGUGGGCUAACACAGAUGGACUAGGAAACUGCAAUUCCUGGGGGAUAGUGCCAGAUUGCCUUUUGUGUUGUGUCAUCACCAUCAUCAUCAUAACAAGAGAGGUGCAUGUAUUUCACCAGCAGCAGUGUGACCAUCAGAAGACAGAGAGACAUCUGGACUACAGGACGGCAGAAAAGCAACCCUCCACGGAGGAGAACUGCAGAGCUGGAGAGCUUCUUUGGAACAGGGAAGAGAAUACCACCCAGUUGCUUUACCCCCUUGCACUGCCCAUAACUCAUUCUUUACCACUGACAAAUUCUGCUGCCUGAAGAGUACACAAACGUACUUGAGGAGUGCCUUUCCUGAUUCAGAAAGAUUUAUGGCUGUUUAUUUCCUCAUUCAUCCCAGCAAGGAGAGCAAAAUUUAAAGAGCAAGAGGUUGUCUUCCUCAGUGUGACUCCAGCUGCUGUUUUGGCAGGACUAUCACAGAUCUAUGCAAGAAGUGCUAUCUCGGAGGAGAGAGAAUUCUUUCCUGCACAAGAGAAGAAAAACCGUCUACAUUAGCCAUGGACCAACACGGUCACAGAGGAACAGGAAGUGGAAGAUAAGGACCAGGCUGUCACUAGAAUGGCUGAGACCUUAGGGACUGCAUGGGAACCAGAUAAAUGGACUGUCAGUCAUAUAAAUGCUCCUCACAAAGACUAUCCUCUGUGGAAUUGAAAACAUCUUUUAUAUCCAACAGAUAUGGACCCACCCAGUAUGUAUGCAAACAUGGAGGUCUUGUUCAUGUGAACUGUUGGUGCUCCUUUGAGGAGAAUAUAAUAUCUGAAUUAUGACAAUACUAAGACAUUGACCAGGAUUUCACCAAUAAUUGCGCUCAUCUUUGAAAGUUUUUUCUUUGUAAACUAAAUUUAGACAGAUAAUCUUAGUUAUUCCUGACCUUGACAAACUGUAUUUAUAGAUACAAAAUUGACACCUUUAUUGUAAGUCAAAGUAAAUUAAAUAAGAAGCUAUUCUCCCUACAGUAAGUCUAUUAGAUAUAUGUUGGAAUGCAUUUCAUCAGGUGGCUAAGUUCUGUGUGUGGGGAAAUCAUUUCUGGUGAUGUGACAAGCAGGAAAAUUAAUAAGACAAAGACAAUGAUAACAGAGAAGAAACGUCAAAUAAGCCAAAUUAUUUCAUUGUGCAGCUGUAUUAAGUUGUAUCUGAAUAUUAUAUAUUUACAAAAAUGAAUGUAUGCAAUGAGUGCAAAGUCUAUGGUCAUUGCAAUUGCAAUCAUUUCUGUUGGAAACCAUGAAAAGUGUGAAACUCUUGGUGCUAUAUAGAUACAGGAUAUCCCACAAUCCAGUAACUUGGUGAAUGGCCUACCUGCCAUCCUAGUCUUGGAAAUUGGCCUCUUUUGAUGUCAUAUUUGUGUAAAUUAAUCGUUUCCUUACACAGUGAUAAAGUUGGCUGAAUACAUUUAGAUUCUGCCCUUCUGUCCUUAGUUACUGAGUUCCAGUUAUACCAAAAGUAUGCCUAACAAAUAAAAGAAGCCACAGCAAAGAAAUCCAAUGAUCGAAUGUGUGGUCAGUGGAAACAGAUUCGUUUGUCAGACUGCCAGAUAGUAAAGCGUGAUUCAUCACUCCAGAGAACACGUUUCCACUGAUUCAGAGUCCAAUGUUGGAGUGAUUUACAUCACCCCAGCUGACGCUUGGCUUUGCGCAUGGUGAUCUUAGGCUUGUGUGCAGCUGCUUGGCCAUGGAAACCCAUUCCAUGAGGCUCCCAACAAACAGUUGUUGUGCUGAAAUUGCUUCCAGAGGCAGUCUGGAACUUGCUAGUGAGUGUUGCAACUGAGGACAGACAAUUUUUACAAGCUAUGUGCUUCAGCACUCAGCGGACCUGUUCUGUGUGCUUGUGUAGCCUAUCGCUUCGUGGCUGAGCUGUUGUUGCUCCUAGACAUUUCUGCAAUAACAGCACUUACAGUUGACUCUGGCAGGACAGAAAUUUGACAAACUGACUUGUUAGAAAGGUGGCAUACUGUGACAGUGAUAGGUUGAAAGUCAAUAUGACCCAUUCUACUGCCACGUCCUAUGGAGAUUGCAUGGCUGUAUGCUUGAUUUUAUGCAAUAGGUGUGGCUGAAGUAUCCAAAUACACUAAUUAGAUAGGGUGUCCACAUACAUUUGGCCAUGUCUAGUGUAGGUUGAUUCUUUGAACACUUUUUGUUAAAUAUUUGUUAAACAUUAAAUUGACAGAAUUUAUUGUAAAACUUAUUUUACCCACUUAUUUGUACAUUAUACUACCUGAUAGAAAACGGAUGAAAAAGAAGCAGUCUGCAGUAGAGAAAUUGGAAUUCUGUACAAAAGAUGAACCAAGCCUCAGAUACUCCACAAUCCUUAUCAUUGAUCCUUUGUCAUACAGAUGAAUUCAAUAUUUUUUAAAUGUGAAGAUACUAUUCAGGAAAAUCCAAAUCAAAAACACUAUUUUAACACAACAUUAAGGGCAAAAAAGCCCAUGGGGAGAGAUCAUAAAUUGUAGUGAGGGUCUGAAAGGAGCUGAUUGAGGGGGGAAAAAAAUCAUGACGGGAUUUCAUUACAUUGACAUGAUGCUCAUUUCCCUUGAUCUAUAACAAGGGUACAAGGGUUUGAAAAGUGUCAUUACUCACUCCUUGAACAUAUCAGUGUAUCCCCUUUAAUUGAUGUCACGUUGAGGCCUUGAUAAAACAAUCAAAGUGUGAUUAAGUUUUGAACUACAGUGCUUGCAGCUACAAACACUAUUCAGUUCAUUUUGGUGUAGCAACGUUGAGAAAGCCAGGUUGGGAAUUUAGCCAGAACACUGGGGAAUCCCCUACUCUUUGCAACAAGUGCCAUGGGGACUUUCAUGACCACAGUGAGUCAGGACCUCGGUUUAAAGUCUUUAAUGUUUGACGUUUAACAUCUUUGAACCAUGCUGUAGAUAUAACCAGGUGCUAAGUAUCUUCUGUAGUGAUGCUUUUCCAUGCCUGUACUGCAACCAUCUCCAGCUUUGGCUUGUUUCAGGGGCUAGUUUGCUAAUGUUUUUUCUUCAGCAUAUGAAAUUCAGAUCGGGUGACUGACAUGGGUAGUCAAGACUUUUCUUACAGUGGUUUAGGGUUUCAUUUGGCACUGUCACUGUGAGAGAUCUUCCCGGCAGAGGCAAAUUUGCAUAUUUUUAUUUUUUCCCACAGGAACAACUUGUUGUUUGCACAUCCACCACCAGGUAGCAAAUGUGAGCACUCAAAAUUAUUUUUGACAGAUAACACUUCAACUGUGGGACUCAUGAGCAAACUAUACUCCUCAAAAAAAGUUUGGAAAUUUGUGUUCAGUGGAUCAUAUCUCUGUUGUCACUGUAUUAUUAGCAUUGUAUCAUAUAUAAUUGGAAAGCCUGUUCAUUUCCCUUUACAAUGAAGUCCCAUUUACAAGGAUCAUGCAUUUGUGGGAUGAGCAGCACAGCUGAUUAUCUGGGUGGGGUCCCAAGUGAAAUGUGGCAAAUUUCCCUGCCAAUGUCAAACAGUGUAUUCUCCUGUUGGUAUUGACUCUAUUGUUUGGAGUUGUUUGCAGGAUUGGAUGAUUGAACUCUCUAUCAGUAACAAGGAACAAACAAGACAUAUUGGUAAUUUUACGCUUUAUUCAUUGAACAAACAGUCAGGAGCCUCAGUAGUGGGUGGGAGAACCAUACGCAGCCACAACAGCCUCCUCCUCAUGCUGGCCACCACCAUGGUCACGCGUUGCUGUGGGAUGGCAUUCCAUUCCUCAACCAGGAUUCGUUGCAGGUCAGCCAACGUGGUUGCGUUGGUCACUCUAGCAUGUACAGCACGCCCGAGCUCAUCCCACAAGUGUUCAAUUGGGUUAAGGUCUGGGCUGUUGGCAGGCUAUUCCCUUCAACCACGUUGGCUGACCUGCGAUAAAUCCUGGUUCAAACUCUUUGAGCUUUCUUGGGAGUUCAUUAACUUGCUCAGUAAACAUCCUGGUCUCGCGUUCACUGAAGCCAGGAAACUUCUCUGGUACAAUGUUAAAGUAUUCUUGCAGGUUCUUUCAAAUGCUACAGUAUAAUGAAGUAACAAUAUAUAGAUCACUGAACUGUCAGAAAAUAGUGGCUGUUUGCUUUAAUACGAUGUUAAAAAAUAGUAAUUUCCCUCGCAAUCAUUGGGGAAAGGUGUCAUCGUCAUUUGAGUAAAUUUUUCCUUCGUCAGCAUGAACCAAUAUUUGUACAAUAAAACUAAUAUACAUGCACAUUUACUCAUAUUGUUAGGCUAUAGGAUGCAACAUUUUAUGAAAUAUGUACUCACAAAACAAAGUGCCAAAAUGUCUCAGUUUUAAACCUAGCAGCCCCAACGCUCAAAAUUCCAUCCCAGUUGGGGACUCGAAUCGACCAGACACACGUCUCCUUUUUCACCGUAAUUAAGAGAACAUCCAUUCAUAAAACAGAAAUGCUUUAGGUCUAUUCCACAUAGUAGACAAGACCUUGCUGGCAGUGGCAUACUAUUCUAGCAACUCGGGUGACCCUCCUUGCGCCACACCUUCAGCUGAUAGGAAUUGGACAACCAGGAUGAUGACAACAGAGGCUGGCUACAAUUAGCAUUAUAUUCGUUUCACCAAUAAAAAUAAUCCAUUCUGUGGUUAUUUUUAAUAGAGAUUUCUGUUUAAUUUAUUUGUUUAUUAUUAGUAUUAUUAUUAUUAUUAUUAUUAUUAUUGAUGCCAUUUUGCUUCUGUAAUUGCUGUAGAAGUCCCUCAGGACCCUGGUGGCUUAACAUUUUGGGACACCUAAAUAAACAAAAGUAUGAAUACAUAAUAACCAUAUAACAUGUAAAACAUUUCACUGUGAGGUUUUCUUUUGACAAAAUGUGUAAUAAUGCCAUCACUGAGGACACAAAUUAUCGUAAACAAAGUCUAAUUGGUGUAGUGGGUGGGACAUUAGGACCCAGCGGUAGCUCCAAUAUAGGGAAGGCGUCGCUUUAAAACGAGGUGAGCUGUCGCUCCUCGCGAGACCUCCUCAAACUAUCGUUUGGUAAUUAAUAUGCCAGGCCCUCGCUGAUAGCCGGACUGAGGCUCACCGUGACAUGGACACAUGCUCCCACAUCCCAUCUGUCGGGGGUAUGGCGAGCCGGGGCACUGAGUCAGGCAGUGCUCCUAGUCUGCCAGAGCUCAGAGAAAUGGCUCGGGGUCCACAUAGACGGAUGGGGGAGCGGAGCCCCAGUUAGCCCUGAAGCAGAUGUCAGCAUGCAGCAGGAGCCAGUGGUGGUGUGCUGGGGACUUUUUCCAUGUCCCGGUUACCAUGAGUGCAGUCCCAUGCUCCACGCCAUGCACUUUCCAGGCAGCAAUGGGGGUGCUGGAGAGAGAGGCAGCGGCGGGCCUGAACCUCCACCCUGAGGAACGCCACUUCCUGCAGAGGACAAACUGCAGGCAGUCAGAGAUUGGGGUGCUGGACCGCACCUUCAGGGUGCCGGCUACAGCUUCAGAUCCCACUCCAGAGGCUGGAGCAGUGAUGUUCUGAUUACUGGAAUUAACUAGCACUGUCUGGAACAUACCUGAAUUGCUCCAGUCCUUCAGAUGAUUUUGUCAGUCAUUUUGAAGUCAGUGAUGUUAAAAUUAUUGUUGUUUUCCAUAUAGAUCUCCAUUUUCUUCUUCCUAUCUAAGGAAAUGCUAGUGCGAAUCUAUUGAAUGGGCUGUCUAGCAACAAUGAAGUAUCCAUUAUAGCAUGAAGAUGCCCACUUAGUCCUCCAAUUGAGUUGUCCUGAAAUAUUUAACUUCAUAUGAAAAGGAAACAUUAUUCUCCCAUUUAUACAUUUGCUAAACAUAACUAUACAUAUUUUGCCUAUGCUUAAUGAACACUUAAAAGUAAGUAAAUGCCUCUAAAUAAACAUGAUAAAUAAUUGGCUAAAUCUUCCGAUUAUAUGUUUUUUGCAUACCUUUUACACUAGCAAAGCAGUUCAUGGCAAAUAACCUUGAUCAAUGAGCUGUUUGAAAUUUCUGUAUUCAGGACCCAUGGGAGUAAAUUUCACACUAUGGCAUGACUUCUCUCAGUAUAACGGGAAAUAUAAUUAUGUAUUAAAUUAUGUGUACAUUUAUCACAGCUGAAACAUGUCCCCAAAUGAUUUGCAGAUUUAUUUGUGAAAAAAGAAUAAUAAUAAUACAUAACUGCAGGGGGACACGUUUUUUUAAAAUGAUUAAGCAUGCAAUAUAGUUUGUGAAAUAUCAAAAAUAAAAAAUAAAAAUGUAAAAAAUAAAAAAUAAAAAACUACUGUAUGUGUAUCACAAGGGAAAAUAAAAACUGAUUGUCAUUGAUUGAAAAAAAGAACCUUGUUUUACUGCAAUUGUAGCAAUUCUACAAGCUCAGUCUGUUUUGAAAAGGAAUUGACUGCUAGAGAAAUGAUUCAAUCUCUUUCCAUUCCACUGUAUAAAGAUCUCAAUUUAGAUAUGUCACAGUGAAUGGGGCUCCACAAAGUGCUGAGCUACCUUGUCUGUCAAUGAUUUCAGGCAAUUCAAAAUAACCUGUAGCAAUGUGAGGGGGGGAAGCCAAACAACAAAGAUACUAUACUCAGUAUAUUAGAAGUCCUUUGAGCUUGCAGUAAGUCGUACAAUGUAGUAUUAGCUUGUUAGGGGGGAAAGAAAUUGGUUGUAUGUUACCACAUGUUUAUGAAAUGAAUACACAUAUACAAAACUAAAUUAUAAUUGUACGCCUGGUUUACAAUUUGAAUUAGGGGUACAACUAGAUUCGCUUUAAAAGCAUUAUGUAAAUAGAUGUUAAAUGCAAUAAAGUGUACAGCAACACCAGCUUUUCGCCUGUCACUGCCCCCCAUG